AGCUGCAUGCUUUUCACAAAAUCCAGAAAGCAUUUAAGAAUUGAACUAGGGGCUGGAAGAAGUGAAAGGGAAGCAUCUAAAAAUGAAAGGAUUUUCAAAGGCGAUUUCUCUACUUUUAUUUGGAAUCAUUUCCCAGUGUGGAAAACCUUUCCUAACAAAAAAAAAGUCUCCAAAUCUGUACACAAGACCAUUGCUUGGAGAAAGGGGAUGGGGAGCCCCCUAACCUCACCAACCACGGAGGAGGAAGGCUGGGAGCCGCGGGAGGAAGAGUAUUCUAGGACAGAAGAAGCAGGAAGAGCAAAGAGGAAAAAUGAAAAGAAGCAAUGCCUGUCAAGAUCCACAAACUUUCUCAGAAAUCUCCAACAGACUUCUACAUAUGUCUCAUUGACCAAAAAUAUCUCACAUGUUCAUCCCUAGCUGCUCAUGGCCCUUUGAAUAAAACCAAGGAUCUGUUGACAAAGACUGGGAGAGUAGAUAUUUGCAAUAUUAGCAGUGUCUACCACACCAACUUCCAGUCAUUCAACUAAGGUCUUUUCUACCAUACC